rnacentral:snoRNA from 1 species
GGUUUGUGUGUGGGAGAGGCAGCCANGUUCAGUCUGUGUUUCACCUGAAUACCCUGAUUACACACAUGCCCUGAGCAGACU